UACAGAGGCCUCGAGCGUUAGGCGGAAUCACUGGGCUUAAAGCGUGUGUAGGCGGACUUCUAAGUGCCUUGUGAAAUCCCACGGCUCACCCGUGGAACUGCUGGGCAUACUGGGAGUCUUGAGCCACCUAGGGGCGAGCGGAACAAAUGGUGGAGCGGUGAAAUGCGUAGAUAUCACUUGGAACGCCAAAGGUGAAAACAAUCUGCUGGGGAUCUGCUGACGCUGAGACACGAAAGCCAGGGGAGCGAACGGG
rnacentral:rRNA from 1 species